rnacentral:rRNA from 1 species
CUUUACGGAUCACACUAUGUGACAUAUCAUUCAAGUUUCUGACCUAUCAGCUUUAGACGGUAGGGUAUUGGCCUACCGUGGCUAUGACGGGUAACGGGGAAUUAGGGUUCGAUUCCGGAGAGGGAGCCUGAGAAACGGCUACCACAUCUAAGGAAGGCAGCAGGCGCGCAAAUUACCCAAUCCUAAUACAGGGAGGUAGUGACAAGAAAUAACAAUACAGAGCCUUACGGUUUUGUAAUUGGAAUGAGUUAAGUAUAAACCCCUUAACAAGUAUCAAUUGGAGGGCAAGUCUGGUGCCAGCAGCCGCGGUAAUUCCAGCUCCAAUAGCGUAUAUUAAAGUUGUUGCAGUUAAAAAGCUCGUAGUUAAUUUUCUGUUAAUUUUUAUAUACAAUGCUACGGUAUUUAUAUAAUAUUAACAUAAUUCAUAUUACUUUUUAAGUAUAUGAAACUUUACUUUGAGAAAAUUAGAGUGCUUAAAGCAGGCUAUUGCCUUGAAUACUCCAGCAUGGAAUAAUAUUAAGGAUUUUUAUUCUUCUUAUUGGUUCUAGAAUAAAAAUAAUGAUUAAUAGGGACAGUUGGGGGCAUUUGUAUUUAACAGUCAGAGGUGAAAUUCUUAGAUUUGUUAAAGACAAACUACUGCGAAAGCAUUUGCCAAGGAUGUUUUCAUUAAUCAAGAACGAAAGUUAGGGGAUCGAAGACGAUCAGAUACCGUCGU